AUUGAACGCUGGCGGCAUGCUUUACACAUGCAAGUCGAACGGUAACAGGGAGCUUGCUCCGCUGACGAGUGGCGAACGGGUGAGUAAUGCAUCGGAACGUACCCAGUCGUGGGGGGAUAACGUAGCGAAAGUUACGCUAAUACCGCACACGUCCUGAGGGAGAAAGCGGGGGACCGUAAGGCCUCGCGCGAUUGGAGCGGCCGAUGUCGGAUUAGCUAGUUGGUGGGGUAAAGCCUACCAAGGCGACGAUCCGUAGCGGGUCUGAGAGGAUGAUCCGCCACACUGGGACUGAGACACGGCCCAGACUCCUACGGGAGGCAGCAGUGGGGAAUUUUGGACAAUGGGGGCAACCCUGAUCCAGCCAUGCCGCGUGAGUGAAGAAGGCCUCGGGUUGUAAAGCGUACUUUCAGUACGGAAAGAAACGACAU
rnacentral:rRNA from 1 species